rnacentral:rRNA from 1 species
ACAGCAGUAGCCGCGGGAAUACGAAGGGGGCUAGCGUUGUUCGGAAUUACUGGGCGUAAAGCGCACGUAGGCGGAUAUUUAAGUCAUGGGUGAAAUCCCGCAGCUCAACUGCGGAACUGCCUUUGAUACUGGGUAUCUUGAGUAUGGAAGAGGUUAGUGGAAUUGCGAGUGUAGAGGUGAAAUUCGUAGAUAUUCGCAGGAACACCAGUGGCGAAGGCGGCUAACUGGUCCAUAACUGACGCUGAGGUGCGAAAGCGUGGGGAGCAAACAGGAUUAGAUACCCGAGUAGUCCCUGUCUCUUAUAC